rnacentral:rRNA from 1 species
UACAGAGGGUGCGAGCGUUAAUCGGAAUUACUGGGCGUAAAGCGUGCGUAGACGGUUAUCUAAGUCGGGUGUGAAAGCCCCGGGCUCAACCUGGGAAUUGCAUUCGAGACUGAAUAGCUAGGGUACGGUAGAGGGAAGUGGAAUUUCCGGUGGAGCGGUGAAAUGCGUAGAGAUCGGAAAGAACACCAACGGCGAAAGCACUCUGCUGGGCCGACACUGACACUGAGAGACGAAAGCUAGGGGAGCGAAUGGG